rnacentral:rRNA from 1 species
AAAACGACUCUCGGCAACGGAUAUCUAGGCUCUCGCAUCGAUGAAGAACGUAGCGAAAUGCGAUACUUGGUGUGAAUUGCAGAAUCCCGCGAAUCAUCGAGUUUUUGAACGCAAGUUGCGCCCGAAGCCAUUCGGCCGAGGGCACUUCUGCCUGGGUGUGACGC